rnacentral:rRNA from 1 species
AGUGAACGCUGGCGGUAGGCCUAACACAUGCAAGUCGAACGAGUCGCGGACGGGUGAGAAAUACAUCGGAAUCUAAGCUGUGGUGGGGGAUAACAUAGGGAAACUUACGCUAAUACCGCAUACGACGGCAUGAGCCGAUGUCGGAUUAGCUAGUUGGUGGGGUAAACGCUCACCAAGGCGACUAUCCGUAGCUGGUCUGAGAGGAUGAACAGCCACACUGGAACUGAGACACGGUCCAGACUCCUACGGGAGGCAGCAGUGGGGAAUAUUGGACAAUGGGGGCAAGCCUGAUCCAGCCAUCCCGCGUGGGUGAAGAAGGCCUUCGGGUUGUAAAGCCCUUUUGUUGGGAAAGCGGUACCCGAAGAAUAAGCACCGGCUAACUUCGUGCCAGCAGCCGCGGUAAUAC